rnacentral:rRNA from 1 species
GACGAACGCUGGCGGCGUGCCUAAUACAUGCAAGUUGAGCGCUGAAGGUUGGUACUUGUACCAACUGGAUGAGCAGCGAACGGGUGAGUAACGCGUGGGGAAUCUGCCUUUGAGCGGGGGACAACAUUUGGAAACGAAUGCUAAUACCGCAUAAAAACUUUAAACACAAGUUUUAAGUUUGAAAGAUGCAAUUGCAUCACUCAAAGAUGAUCCCGCGUUGUAUUAGCUAGUUGGUGAGGUAAAGGCUCACCAAGGCGAUGAUACAUAGCCGACCUGAGAGGGUGAUCGGCCACAUUGGGACUGAGACGCGGCCCAAACUCCUACGGGAGGCAGCAGUAGGGAAUCUUCGGCAAUGGACAAAAGUCUGACCGAGCAACGCCGCGUGAGUGAAGAAGGUUUUCGGAUCGUAAAACUCUGUUGGUAGAGAAGAACGUUGGUGAGAGUGGAAAGCUCAUCAAGUGACGGUAACUACCCAGAAAGGGACGGCUAACUACGUG